rnacentral:rRNA from 1 species
AGGACGAACGCUGGCGGCGUGCUUAACACAUGCAAGUCGAGCGGUAAGGCCUUUCGGGGUACACGAGCGGCGAACGGGUGAGUAACACGUGGGUGAUCUGCCCUACACUCUGGGAUAAGCCUGGGAAACUGGGUCUAAUACCGGAUAUGACCUGCUCUCGCAGUGGGGGUGGGUGGAAAGUAUUUAUUGGUGCAGGAGUGGGCCCGCGGCCUAUCAGCUUGGUUGGUGGGUAAUGGCCUACCGAAGGCGACGACGGGUA